rnacentral:rRNA from 1 species
UGCAAGUCGAGCGGACAGAUGGGAGCUUGCUCCCUGAAGUCAGCGGCGGACGGGUGAGUAACACGUGGGCAACCUGCCUGUAAGACUGGGAUAACUCCGGGAAACCGGGGCUAAUACCGGAUAAUUCUUUCCCUCACAUGAGGGGAAGCUGAAAGAUGGUUUCGGCUAUCACUUACAGAUGGGCCCGCGGCGCAUUAGCUAGUUGGUGAGGUAACGGCUCACCAAGGCGACGAUGCGUAGCCGACCUGAGAGGGUGAUCGGCCACACUGGGACUGAGACACGGCCCAGACUCCUACGGGAGGCAGCAGUAGGGAAUCUUCCGCAAUGGACGAAAGUCUGACGGAGCAACGCCGCGUGAGUGAUGAAGGUUUUCGGAUCGUAAAACUCUGUUGUUAGGGAAGAACAAGUACCGGAGUAACUGCCGGUACCUUGACGGUACCUAACCAGAAAGCCACGGCUAACUACGUGCCAGCAGCCGCGGUAAUACGUAGGUGGCAAGCGUUGUCCGGAAUUAUUGGGCGUAAAGCGCGCGCAGGCGGUUCCUUAAGUCUGAUGUGAAAGCCCCCGGCUCAACCGGGGAGGGUCAUUGGAAACUGGGGAACUUGAGUGCAGAAGAGAAGAGUGGAAUUCCACGUGUAGCGGUGAAAUGCGUAGAGAUGUG